UACGUAGGGUGCGAGCGUUGUCCGGAAUUAUUGGGCGUAAAGAGCUCGUAGGCGGUUUGUCGCGUCGACUGUGAAAACCCGAGGCUUAACCUCGGGCCUGCAGUCGAUACGGGCAGACUAGAGUUCGGUAGGGGAGACUGGAAUUCCUGGUGUAGCGGUGAAAUGCGCAGAUAUCAGGAGGAACACCAGCGGCGAAGGCGGCGCUCUGGGCCGGUACUGACGCUGAGGAGCGAAAGCGUGGGUAGCAAACAGG
rnacentral:rRNA from 1 species